rnacentral:rRNA from 1 species
GAUGAACGCUGGCGGCGUGCCUAAUACAUGCAAGUCGAGCGAACAGACGAGGAGCUUGCUCCUCUGACGUUAGCGGCGGACGGGUGAGUAACACGUGGAUAACCUCCCUAUAAGACUGGGAUAACUUCGGGAAACCGGAGCUAAUACCGGAUAAUAUAUUGAACCGCAUGGUUCAAUAGUGAAAGACGGUUUUGCUGUCACUUAUAGAUGGAUCCGCGCCGCAUUAGCUAGUUGGUAAGGUAACGGCUUACCAAGGCAACGAUGCGUAGCCGACCUGAGAGGGUGAUCGGACACACGGGAACUGAGACACGGUCCAGACUCCUACGGGAGGCAGCAGUAGGGAAUCUGGCGCAAUGGGCGAAAGCCUGACGGAGCAACGCCGCGUGAGUGAUGAAGGUCUUCGGAUCGUAAAACUCUGUUAUUAGGGAAGAACAAAUGUGUAAGUAACUAUGCACGUCUUGACGGUACCUAAUCAGAAAGCCACGGCUAACUACGUG